GACGAACGCUGGCGGCGUGCUUAACACAUGCAAGUCGAACGGAAAGGCCCUGCUUUUGUGGGGUGCUCGAGUGGCGAACGGGUGAGUAACACGUGAGUAACCUGCCCUUGACUUUGGGAUAACUUCAGGAAACUGGGGCUAAUACCGGAUAGGAGCUCCUGCUGCAUGGUGGGGGUUGGAAAGUUUCGGCGGUUGGGGAUGGACUCGCGGCUUAUCAGCUUGUUGGUGGGGUAGUGGCUUACCAAGGCUUUGACGGGUAGCCGGCCUGAGAGGGUGACCGGCCACAUUGGGACUGAGAUACGGCCCAGACGCCUACGGGAGGCAGCAGUGGGGAAUAUUGCACAAUGGGCGGAAGCCUGAUGCAGCAACGCCGCGUGCGGGAUGACGGCCUUCGGGUUGUAAACCGCUUUCGCCUGUGACGAAGCGUGAGUGACGGUAAUUGGUAAAGAAGCACCGGCUAACUACGU
rnacentral:rRNA from 1 species